rnacentral:lncRNA from 1 species
UAAUAAUAAUAAUAAUAAUAACAGUCCCUGUCCUCUCCUCAGAAAUGCUGUAUGCUUUGGUGGGAGACUUCUCAAAAGUCUAUUUCAGUUACCCAAAGUAUUCAUGGAUGAGUACAGACAGCUUUAGACUUGUUCUGAAAUACAAGUCUUCUAAGUUAUCGCGAACAGGACGUCAGCCCAGGCAGCACGUGCCUUAAGAUAACGGCAAACCACGCUGGAUCUAUUCACAAAGGCAAAUUCUGUGUUUGCAACACAGGUUGUUUUGUUUUCCUUAUAAAACCUGUUCUUAGUCCUGCGGGCAAAAGCCGGAAGUAGCAAUUAUAAACUCCUCUGGGGCCCCCGUGGCCAAACUCCCCAGAUCUUUUAGCCCUUGACUGGGUCAAAAGUAUCUGUCACGUGAAAAGCAUUUGGAUGGUCCCUUUCAUCCACUCAACUGGAAAGCUCCCAGCUCACACAGAAGACCACAUCCAAGGAUGAAGGCAGAGGAGCCCUUAAGUGGUGUUUUUGAGCUAAGUAACCAGCCAGCCGCAACACGCUCUACUAUUAACCAAGAGGACCCGCUUUCCCCAAGGGACGGUGAGUCAGGGCUCUAUUUUUGUGGUUCGGCACACGCUGUUAAGGGGCGGCAGAAGGUUGCCCUUUUCCCACCACCUUCAUCCCCGAGAUCCUCUCAGACCUGACAUCAGGCUGUUGGCUACUCGUCAUAAAGCUUCCCUGUCAAAGGGAAUCCAGCGGAUGAGCCAUGAGCGCGCUUACAGUCAGAUAAUAGAUGAAAGGGCCCUCAAGAUAAACGAGGUGCCUACGGAAAACCCGGCAAGGUUGUUUAAAAGAAGAUGGCGAAGGCCGUUAAUUCUCCUCAGGCAGUUUCAAAAGGCGGGGCUGACCCUGUUUAGACACCAACUGUAUACUGUGAGUGAUCUCCUGUUUCUGUCUUUCUGCUGCAGAACAUGAAUUUCAAAAUGUGGGUUUGGUGUGCUCACCUCGGCCUCAGUGAGAAUUCUUCGACCAGUGCUCUGCUCAGACCUACCAUCGUCUCUACUCAGAAACCCUGGUUGUUUCUCGGGUUGCCCAGUAACUCCUCAUGGCCAUUCAACUUUCUGUGCUUUGGACUUACCUGUUGAAUGGAAGCCCCGAAGUCCUCAGGAGGACUGAGUCAGGACUCCACUGAAGUUGUCGUGGGGCCUUCUGAUAAUCACAGCCAACUCCCAAGUCUGAACAGGCUGAUGAGAUCAGCGAGGAGUCUUUGAAUUCUGACACUGAGAAACUGAAACAGGACACGCUGGACUAGGAGAUCUCCCAGUUAAUGGAAGAGGGCAGUGGGUGAACCGGAGGCCCACAUCUCCCUCCUCCAUGAGUACAAUGACGUGAAGGGCAGGAAGUAGCUAAAAGCAAAGAUGCUGUUAAUGUGGCCCUGAGGUGCCAGCACCAAGGAGUUAUAAUUUUGAUCUAGACCUGAAUGACUGAGCAAAGUUUUGGAGAUUUUUAGCCACCACCCACAAAGACAGGUAUAAAGGGACAUGAAAAUCAGAGAGUUCACACAGCACAUUUAUGUGGUUUCCAGAUUUAAAAAAAAGUGGUAGAAGCAGGGUAUUUUUUGGGAGGGGUGAGACUUGUCAGUUCUAAGGUCCCUACAAGUACUUACUUAUGGAUGGAUGUGUGUGGCUGUCCCCUUUGUUAAUGACCACAGAAUCAGUUAAAAAAAGAAAAAGAGAAUUUAACUUUAUACAUGAAACCAGACAAAAGUGUAUUUUUAUAUUUUAACCAUUGAGCAAACAGCACGUUGUCACGUGUACUUGUAAUUUUUUAUGUGCAUGAACUAAGUAUAUAUACAUAUCUGUAUUGCACUCAUAACCAUCCUAGGAUAAUUUUCAUCAAACAUCAUUUGUGUUAGUCAGUUGCUUUUGAAUUCUCAGGUCAGAUGCGGUGACACCUUAUAAUUUUCAAGACUAGGCUUGGAAGGGUUUUAAAUAAAAUAGAGACCAAAUUUGAUCUAUGAAUUUGAGAUGAGAGUCUUUUCUGCCAUGGAAGAGUACAAAGUUGCCCAGUUCUGAGAGGCAAUCGGUGAUGAUGAUGGUGAU